rnacentral:rRNA from 1 species
CCUACGGGAGGCAGCAGUGGGGAAUCUUGCGCAAUGGGCGAAAGCCUGACGCAGCCAUGCCGCGUGAAUGAUGAAGGUCUUAGGAUUGUAAAAUUCUUUCACCGGGGACGAUAAUGACGGUACCCGGAGAAGAAGCCCCGGCUAACUUCGUGCCAGCAGCCGCGGUAAUACGAAGGGGGCUAGCGUUGCUCGGAAUUACUGGGCGUAAAGGGAGCGUAGGCGGACUGUUUAGUCAGAGGUGAAAGCCCAGGGCUCAACCUUGGAAUUGCCUUUGAUACUGGCAGUCUUGAGUACGGAAGAGGUAUGUGGAACUCCGAGUGUAGAGGUGAAAUUCGUAGAUAUUCGGAAGAACACCAGUGGCGAAGGCGACAUACUGGUCCGUUACUGACGCUGAGGCUCGAAAGCGUGGGGAGCAAACAGGAUUAGAUACCCUGGUAGUCCACGCUGUAAACGAUGAGUGCUAGUUGUCGGCAUGCAUGCAUGUCGGUGACGCAGCUACGCAUAAGACACUCCGCCGUCGGGAGGUACGGUCGCGAAGAAUUAAACUACAAUAGAAGUUAGACGGCGUGAGACGUGCCGACGGACGACGACGAGGGAGGUUAGG